rnacentral:rRNA from 1 species
UGAGGAACAUGACCUUCGGCGGGGGAUAGCCGGCCCAACGGCCGGGUAAUACCGCGUACGACCACAUGGGGACAUCCCUGAGUGGUGAAAGCAGCAAUGCGCCGAUGGAGUGCCUCGCGGCCUAUCAGCUAGUUGGUGAGGUAACGGCUCACCAAGGCAACGACGGGUANCUGGUCUGAGAGGAUGGCCAGCCACAUUGGGACUGAGACACCGGCCCAGACCUNUACGGGGA